UAGCUUUCAGUCUCAGGUUGUUUUGAUAGCCCUUUUUUUCUUUUAACGAAGAAACCCAUUUCAACUAAACUGUCUCCAAAAAAAAAAAAAAAAAAUGGUGUCAGAUACCCUGGAAGCGCUCUGCAUAUUUUACUUUGAUUUAAAGUCAACACCCAAAAUAAAAUAGGGUGGGUUUUAAAAUUGCAUUGGUCUGCCAGGCCGACUUCCCCAAGUAGGUAUCUAAAACAUGAUCCUUUAACUCAGAAUUCAGGAACUCUGCAUUUAUCUUCCUGCUAUGGUAGUACUUGCUAGAGAUGCUUCGAGCAUCUGAGUCAUUUCCAAAUUGGCAGAGAAAUAGGAUCACACACGUCAGGGUUGGGAGAGAAAAUAGGACUCCUCUGGUCUUGGUGUCUGCCCAGUGCAAAUCUUAUCUUUGGGACAUCACCCCUGUUUGCUGACUGGCCCAUUUCUGGGACAGGAAACCCAUGUAGUUCUGUCUUCCACAUUCCUUGGAGUCCUGUAUAGUUUAAGAUGAAAGAAGGAGGCUUCAGUGCAUACAACACAUAAGACCUAUCUAGUUUAAGUAUGUGUGUGGAGGGGGGAAGUUAUAUCC
rnacentral:lncRNA from 1 species